UUUCCGUAGGUGAACCUGCGGAAGGAUCAUUCUUAAAUAACCGAGUAUCGAAGUUUUUCACUCAACCUACAGCUCGUGCGCACUCUAGUUCCCUCACACACAUCCAUAUCAACCCUAUGUGAACCACCACGUUUUAACCCCUUGUGUUAUUCAUAUUAUGAAUUACGUAUUCAAAAUAAAAUUGUAUACAGUGUAGAUUGUGUUUUUUGUUUUUACGAUGACGGAAUCAGUACAAAUUUCAACAACGGAGCUCUUGGCUCACGCAUCGAUAAAUAACGC
rnacentral:misc_RNA from 1 species